rnacentral:rRNA from 1 species
AUUGAACGCUGGCGGCAGGCCUAACACAUGCAAGUCGAGCGGAGCGGCGGACGGGUGAGUAAUGCCUAGGAAUCUGCCUGGUAGUGGGGGAUAACGUCCGGAAACGGGCGCUAAUACCGCAUACUAUCAGAUGAGCCUAGUUGGGAUUAGCUAGUAGGUGGGGUAACGGCUUACCUAGGCGACGAUCCCUAACUGGUCUGAGAGGAUGAUCAGUCACACUGGAACGGAGACACGGUCCAGACUCCUACGGGAGGCAGCAGUGGGGAAUAUUGGACAAUGGGCGGAAGCCUGAUGCAGCCAUGCCGCGUGUGUGAAGAAGGCCUUCGGAUUGUAAAGCACUGUAAGUUGGGAGGCGUUACCCACAGAAUAAGCACCGGCUAACUUCGUGCCAGCAGCCGCGGUAAUAC